rnacentral:rRNA from 1 species
CCCUUUGGGGUGUGACUGCGUACCUUUUGUAUAAUGGGUCAGCGACUUAUAUUCUGUAGCAAGGUUAACCGAAUAGGGGAGCCGGAGGGAAACCGAGUCUUAACCGGGCGUUAAGUUGCAGGGUAUAGACCCGAAACCCGGUGAUCUAGCCAUGGGCAGGUUGAAGGUUGGGUAACACUAACUGGAGGACCGAACCGACUAAUGUUGAAAAAUUAGCGGAUGACCUGUGGCUGGGGGUGAAAGGCCAAUCAAACCGGGAGAUAGCUGGUUCUCCCCGAAAGCUAUUUAGGUAGCGCCUCGUGAAUUCAUCUCCGGGGGUAGAGCACUGUUUCGGCUAGGGGGCCAUCCCGGCUUACCAACCCGAUGCAAACUGCGAAUACCGGAGAAUGUUAUCACGGGAGACACACGGCGGGUGCUAACGUCCGUCGUGAAGAGGGAAACAACCCAGACCGCCAGCUAAGGUCCCAAAGUCAUGGUUAAGUGGGAAACGAUGUGGGAAGGCCCAGACAGCCAGGAUGUUGGCUUAGAAGCAGCCAUCAUUUAAAGAAAGCGUAAUAGCUCACUGGUCGAGUCGGCCUGCGCGGAAGAUGUAACGGGGCUAAACCAUGCACCGAAGCUGCGGCAGCGACGCUGAUGCGUUGUUGGGUAGGGGAGCGUUCUGUAAGCCUGUGAAGGUGGCCUGUGAGGGUUGCUGGAGGUAUCAGAAGUGCGAAUGCUGACAUAAGUAACGAUAAAGCGGGUGAAAAGCCCGCUCGCCGGAAGACCAAGGGUUCCUGUCCAACGUUAAUCGGGGCAGGGUGAGUCGACCCCUAAGGCGAGGCCGAAAGGCGUAGUCGAUGGGAAACGGGUUAAUAUUCCCGUACUUGGUGUUACUGCGAAGGGGGGACGGAGAAGGCUAUGUUGGCCGGGCGACGGUUGUCCCGGUUUAAGCGUGUAGGUGUGUGUUCCAGGUAAAUCCGGUUCACUUUAACACUGAGGCGUGAUGACGAGGCACUACGGUGCUGAAGCAACAAAUGCCCUGCUUCCAGGAAAAGCCUCUAAGCAUCAGGUAACAUCAAAUCGUACCCCAAACCGACACAGGUGGUCAGGUAGAGAAUACCAAGGCGCUUGAGAGAACUCGGGUGAAGGAACUAGGCAAAAUGGUGCCGUAACUUCGGGAGAAGGCACGCUGACACGUAGGUGAAGUGAUUUACUCA